rnacentral:misc_RNA from 1 species
GAUGAAGAACGUAGCGAAAUGCGAUACGUAAUGUGAAUUGCAGAAUUCAGUGAAUCAUCGAGUCUUUGAACGCACAUUGCGCCCCCUGGUAUUCCGGGGGGCAUGCCUGUUCGAGCGUCAUUAUAACCCCUCAAGCUCAGCUUGGUGUUGGGGCCUGCUGCACUGGCAGCCCUUAAAAUCAGUGGCGGCGCCAUCUGGCUCUAAGCGUAGUAAUUCUUCUCGCUAUGGAGUCCUGGUGGAUGCUUGCCAUCAACCCCCAAUUUUUCUAUGGUUGACCUCGGAUCAGGUAGGGAUACCCGCUGAACUUAAGCAUAUCAAUAAGCGGAGGA